rnacentral:rRNA from 1 species
GUGUCAGCAGCCGCGGUAAGACAGAGGGUGCUAGCGUUGUUCGGAAUUACUGGGCGUAAAGGGCGCGUAGGCGGCUAUGUAAGUCAGAUGUAAAAUACCUGGGCUUAACCUAGGAUGUGCGUUUGAUACUGCAUAGCUAGAGGAUGGGAGAGGAGAGUGGAAUUCCUAGUGUAGAGGUGAAAUUCGUAGAUAUUAGGAAGAACACCAGUGGCGAAGGCGACUCUCUGGCCCAUUACUGACGCUAAGGCGCGAAAGCGUGGGGAGCAAACAGGAUUAGAUACCCUGGUAGUCCACGCUGUAAACGAUGAGUGCUAGACGUUGGAAGUUCGCUUUCAGUGUCGCAGCUAACGCAUUAAGCACUCCGCCUGGGGAGUACGGUCGCAAGAUUAAA